GUGAGUUGUUUGGACUUCUUAUCCCAGAAGUCCCAUAUCCCAGAAUACACCUCGCAGCAGUAUCAGUGGAGAAGAAAGUACCUACCAGACUGCCGUCGACUCUGCCGUCGCAGCUUAAUCUCUGCUGUCGUCUUUGCGCGGCUCGUGGAGAGAGGCGGUUUGAUCAGGCUGGCGGCUUCCUGAAUGGCUUUGGGAGGCCUGCUGGAGCAAGAUUAUCCCCGUUCCCUUUCAAGGCCACAUUCUGAAUGGUUUCAGGAAGGAUGUGUGUGUGUGGGGGGUGGGGGGUGCAUUAGUAAGGAUGCUAUGAGUUGCCAAAAAAACAGAAUCUUGCUUUAAAAUAUUCUAAAUAUUCUAAGAGAAUCUCUAUAACCUUGCAUGAUGUUCACUGUUAAAAAAUUUGGGUACAUUGAUUAAAAAUACUCAUUACAGUA